CUAACUUCUUUCCUUCCUUUUUAUUAUUCCGAUGGGGACAAAAUCUGACUUUGUUCUAUGAUCGAGUCCUAAAAUACCCCGAUCGUGUCAGAAAUUUGUAUUUCCCUUUUCUCUUUGUCCUGCGAGCAGUAACCAAAGCUGCAGAUUAUCUCGAGCAGGAUGAGUACAAUACAGGUGGCAUCCCUUCAAUUUGGGAGUUUUUAUGAUGUGCAGUAUGUCAAGACGUAUGACAUAUUCAUGGGUCAAUUGUAGUUUGGUCUCAUUUUUGUAACAUGUACUGCAUUCUUAUUCAUUUGAUUCUACUUUGAGAGUUUUGGGCUUUUGGCUGACUUUGUGAUACUUUAAUGUUUAAUGUAUAGCAUACUCCCGCCCAGGGACGGAACCAGUAAAAAUGGUUGAGGGUGGCAGAAAUAUAACACACGACAAACAACAUUGAUUAAUAGGUAUGUAUAUUUUUUUUUUUAGGCAACAGGGGUGCAGAUGGAGAACUAACUACAACACCCUAGAUAGAUAAAUAAAAAGAAGGAAAUACAAAAGGAGAAGGGGGACAAGGACCAAAACCUUCUCAAGCAAAAGAGCAGGAUAAUAAAAGCAUAAGCUACAAAA